UACGUAGGGUGCGAGCGUUGUCCGGAAUUAUUGGGCGUAAAGAGCUCGUAGGUGGUUUGUCGCGUUGUUCGUGAAAACUCACAGCUUAACUGCGGGCGUGCGGGCGAUACGGGCAGACUGGAGUACUGCAGGGGAGACUGGAAUUCCUGGUGUAGCGGUGGAAUGCGCAGAUAUCAGGAGGAACACCGGUGGCGAAGGCGGGUCUCUGGGCAGUAACUGACGCUGAGGAGCGAAGGCGUGGGGAGCGAACAGG
rnacentral:rRNA from 1 species